rnacentral:rRNA from 1 species
UAGUCCAUGCCGUAAACGAUGAUUACUCGAUGUUGGUUCGCCAGUGUCUAAGCGAAAGUUAUAAGUAAUCCACCUGGGGAGUACGAUCGCAAGAUUGAAACUCAAAGGAAUUGACGGGGGCCCGCACAAGCGGUGGAGCAUGUGGUUUAAUUCGAUGAUACGCGAGGAACCUUACCUAGGCUUAAAUGUUAUAUGACAGCUUGUGAAAGCAAGUUUCCCUUGUGGCAUAUAAUAAGGUGCUGCAUGGUUGUCGUCAGCUCGUGCUGUGAGGUGUCGGGUUAAGUCCCGCAACGAGCGCAACCCUCAUUUUUAGUUGCCUUAUGGAACUCUAAAAAGACUGCCGGUUAUAAACCGGAGGAAGGCGGGGACGACGUCAAGUCAGCAUGCCCCUUACACCCUGGGCUACACACGUGCUACAAUGGACGAGACAAUGAGAUGCAAAUCUGCGAAGGCUAGCUAAUCUAUAAACUCGUUCUAAGUUCGGAUUGCAGGCUGCAACUCG